AAGGCUUUAGCUUAAUUAAAGUGUCUGUUUUGCAUACAGAAGAUGUGGGUCAGUGUCCUGCAAGUCUUA
rnacentral:tRNA from 1 species